rnacentral:lncRNA from 1 species
GGGAGAAGAGGAGCAGGGGCAGGGGAGAAGAGGAGCAGGGGCAGGGAAAGCAAGGAGCCAAACAUCUGUAGCCCAGGUUGGAUUUUAUCCUUUUCAGUUCCUCGAGGCUCAGAGACCUCUGAAGUAACCGUACUGCCCAGAGCUGCAUCAUUACAGCAGGGGAUAUUUAACUUCCCACCGCUCUGCACUGCAGCUGCUUCAGAGGGCUUAGUAUUACUAGGGGGUACAAUUUCUGAUAGUCUUCAAUAGAAAACAUCAGUUGGAGCUGUGUUCUCUUUCCAUCAGGGGAAGGGAAGGGAAUACACAUUUAUCUGGUGCCUACUAUGUACCAGACAGUGCACUAAGUGUUUAUUUCAUUUGAUCUCACAACAACCCUGGGAGGUAAGUUCUAUUGAUCCCCAUUUUAUAGUUGAGGAAAUUUCGGCUGACAUAAGUCAAAUGACUUGUGCAGGGUGAUACAGCCAGUAAGUGCCUGAGGUCAAAUUUGAAUUCAGGUCUAUCUGACUCAGUGCCCAGCGCUCUAUCCCAGGGGUGGGGAACCUGCAGCCUCAAGGCUAUAUGUCCCUCUAGGCCCUCAAGUGUGAUCCUUUGAGAGAAUCCAAACUUCACUGAACAAAUCCCCUUAAUAAAAGGAUUUGUUCUGUAAAACUUGAACUCAGUCAAAAGGCCUCUCUGCUGAAGGUUCCCCACCCCUGCUCUAUCCACUACAUUACCCAAACAAUAAACAUUUCUUAAGCUCCUACUUUGUUCCAGGCACUCCACUAGGCACUGGGGAUACUAAAAGAGGCAAAAGACAGUCCCUGCCUUCAGGCAAUUUCUCACUGAUUUCUCUGUUUUGUUUUUCAGCUAUUCCUCUGGGAGUGGUGGCUGAUUCUUCAGGAAACUGCUGUAAAUAUUCUUCCUUAUUAGUAUCCUUUGAUCUCCUGAGAUGUAUGUGUGGAUGUGGGAAUUACUGGGUAGGGGAGGUAGGAGAGAGCAUUCUCUGGUCUGCCGUUUCUUGUAAGAUGCAGAAGGUGGAAGGGGAGGGGAGAGGUUUGAAACUCUCAUUUCUCUUGCUUUCCAGUUAAGGGUCAGUCUUACAGGGCCACAGGAUCUAAAUCUGUAAGUUAUCUUCAAGAUCACCUAAGUGUAAUCCCUUCAUUUUAAGAAUGAAUAAAAAGAGGCCUAUAAGUUAAGUGAUUUAUCCA